GAUGAACGCUGGCGGCGUGCCUAAUACAUGCAAGUCGAGCGAACAGACGAGGAGCUCGUGCCCCUAACGUUAGCGGCGGACGGGCGAGUAACACGUGCAUAACCUACUUCUAAGACUGGGAUAAUAUCGGGAAACCGGUUCUACUACCGCCUCAUAUAUUCUACCGCAUAGUUCAAUAGUGAUUCACGGCUUUCGUGUCUGUAUUAGCUGAUUCCGUGUUGGAUUAGCUAGUUGGUAAGGUAACGGCUUACCAAGGCUACGAUGCGUAGCUGACCUGAGAGGAUGAUCAGCCACACUGGAACUGAGACACGGUCCAGACUCCUACGGGAGGCAGCAGUAGGGAAUCUUCGGCAAUGGGCGAAAGCCUGACGGAGCAACGCCGCGUGAGUGAUGAAGGUCUUCGGAUCGUAAAGCUCUGUUAUUGGGGAAGAAAAAAUGUGUAUGUAACUAUGCACGUCUUGACGGUACCUAAUCAAAAAGCCCCGGCUAACUUCGUG
rnacentral:rRNA from 1 species